rnacentral:misc_RNA from 1 species
AACUUUCGACAAUGGAUCUCUUGGUUCUGGCAUCGAUGAAGAACGCAGCGAAAUGCAAUGAGUAAUGUGAAUUGAAGAAUUCAGUGAAUCGUCGAAUUUUUGAACGCACGUUGCGCCCUCUGGUAUUCCGAAGGGCAUGCCUAUUCGAGCGUCAUUACAACCCUCAAGCCUGGCUUGGUGUUAGGCCUCCGUCCAUUGGGCGGGCCUGAAAAUCAGUGGCAAUGCCCUUUCAGCUUCAAGCAUAGUAGAUCUAUCUUCGUCUUGAGCAGUUGGAUGGUGCGGUUCACCAAAACCAAAACCUCUGGUUUUAUCUUCUGGUUGAUCUCGGAUCAGGUAGGAAUACCCGCUGAACUUAAGCAUAUCAAUAAGCGGAGGCU